rnacentral:lncRNA from 1 species
CCUCCUCCACGAGGCAAAUCUGGUAAGUGCGUGCCGAGUUUUCUCCACUUCAAUCCCCCCUCCUCUCCCGGCCGUUUCGUUUCCUUCGCCGGCGACGCCUCCGUUCUCCCAGGCCCCACCGCUUGUGCUGGGGUCCACAAUGCGAUGCCACAUAUUCGAUUCAGUUAAUGAUCUGGACUGUGUCCCCAGGCGUGGAUUGAAUGGAUUGAUACGCUGAUUGAUUGGGUAUUGCCGUAUUGGUUCCAUUGCAGAUCGGUCGGUCGAAAUGGGCCACGAGGGCACCAAGUACGGUGAGGACGGCUGCCCCAACCAUACAAUCCCCCGUUCUUCGGUACGUCUGUAUGCCCUCUGCUCUGCUGCUGCCGAGAAAUCUCCCUCUCAGGUUAAUGUACCACACCAUUUUUGUGCGGCACUGUAUGUCUAAUACAUGCUAUGUCUUUGUGUGUUCUUUUUUCUUUCAGACCUGGAUGACACCCUCUACCCGGUGGCCUCCAGCAUUGGCCUCGACUUCGUGAAGAACAUCCAAGGUGCAUAUAUAUAAACCAAACCAUGCCAUGUUUUACUAAAAAUUUGCAGCAGUAUUAGUUUACUGGAAGAGAUGGCCGGUUUUAUGUACGACAUUGAUGAGUUCAUGCUCUUGUUUGGCUAAUUGACUGUCUGCUCCAGAUUAUAUAUGGUCGAGAAGCUCUGAAUCGACAAAAUAUCAGGUUGGAGCUCUGCAUCCUCCUCUACAAGCAGAGUACGGAACCACCGUGGCCGGUCUGCAGGUGUGUAUGGUUUAAGUCCAACAAAUUCUUUUGUUUGUUUUAGACUUGACCAUGUGUGUAUAAUCAAAACGUUGUGCUAUGAAGUAAAGGAAAUGUUUAUGAAGGAAAAUAAUGUUGAGGUGUUGGUAAAUCUUUCUCACAAGGUUGAUUUUCUUAUACUAGCUUAGUAUUCUUCACCUGAAAAUCUGCAAUUGUUGUAAGCCAGCUAAUUAGUUUCGAUGCCAUGCUUUGAUAUUAUGUAUUUAGGGCGUAUUAUUUUCUAUGUAUGCGUAUUAUUAAUGCGAUGUCGCUAUUUGUUGAUGUAUGCAACAGAUGGCUUACAACAAUAUAAUCAAAUGUGCAGGAAACGUGGACAUGCUAUUCUAGGGAAGGGCGAAACCUUGGACGUGUAAUUGAUUACUUUAUGUAGUUCUAAUUUCUAAUUCAAUAAUUUCUUCCAUAUUAUAAACCAAACGACUUCUAUGUAUACCAUCAAUUGAGUUUCAGAUGAAUGCUAAUGUACCAAUGGGGCACCAACUUGGUUCUAGCAUAAAUACAUGGUUCUGGAGUCCCUAGGCUGGAAACAUUU